rnacentral:sRNA from 1 species
GUGUUCCGCGCUUGUGUAGUCUCUAAUGAUUCUUCCAUGUAGCUCUCAAUGAUUCCCCCGCCCCACAUUCUGCGCUUGCGUAGCUUCUAACAAUUCUUAUGUGUACCUCUUAAUGUUCUUCCACUCUGUGCUCCACUGUGGAGCAGCUUCUGAUAUUCUUCCACUCUGAACUUUCCCCUAUAAGAACCCCCUUUGUACAACCUUUUCUUCUGAUUUCUUUUCUCUUUCUUUCCUUAAUCAAUUUGUAAUCUGUAAUUAGAAUAGUAUCAAAUUGUUAAUUGAAGUACACCCAUUACAUUACAAAUUGAUUCUUCUGUGUUUAAGGCCUGAGUGCCUUGUUAUUAGUUCUUACAUCUGAGUGUGUUGUUACCAGUUCUUACACCUGAGUGUGUCGUUUACAGGCCUGAGUGCCUAGUUGUUACAAGAGAUCCCUUGUGGGCCUGAGUGUCCUUAUUGUUAGUUAUAUAGGCUGUCAUGUCUAAGUGUCUGAAACACAAUUGACUGUGUUCUACAAGGCCUGAGUGCCUACGAACUGUAAUGCUGUGAAUAGUGUUCAUGAAGAAGCUUGACCAAGCUUAGUGCUGCAACACUGUGAAUAGUGCCUGCAAGAGGACUGAGUAUUCCUUUUCUUUUUUUUUUUUAUUAUUAUAUGUCCUU